GAGAAGUCAUUUGCUCAAGAAUGUCUGGGCCACUUGGCAUCAUCAACUCUGCAGUAGGUGACAGGCUCCGCUUGGGGCCAACCUGGAAAGGCCGGAGCUUGUCCAGAGCUGAAUAAGAACAUGUUUGGGAUAUGACCCUAGGAAUAGAAUUACGAAGUCAAAGGGUCUUGGAUACUUUGCUGUACUUGAGGAUUCACAUCUGCCCCAGAAAGCCAGAACCCCAUGGAAUGUGAGGAUUGCACAAUAAAGUCAUCAAGAAUGUCUGGGCCACGUGGUGUCAAGGUGAAAUCACUCAA